GACAGACAAUCGCGGCUGCAUGAGCCGAAAGGCUGCAGGCGAGGAAAGUCCGGGAUUCACAGGGCAGGAUGCCGGAUAACGUCCGGUGGAGGUGACUCCAAGGCCAGUGCAACAGAAAUAAACCGCCGGAAGGCGUUCCUGACAUUUGUCAGGUCUCGUGUUCCGGUAAGGGUGGAAAGGCAGUGUAAGAGACUACCGCCUUUCUGGUAACAGAAAGGGCACAUGUAAACCCCAUCCGAAGCAAGACCGAAUAUAAGCGAUGUGGCGGCCCGUCACGCUUUAGGUAGGUCGCUUGAGCCUGGUGGCGACAUCAGGCCUAGAUAGAUGAUUGUCCAACGACAUAACCCGGCUUAUCGUCUUGCUUA
rnacentral:RNase_P_RNA from 1 species